rnacentral:lncRNA from 1 species
UAUGUAUAUGUCUAUUUCAAACCUUUAUAUUUUCGUGUAUUUUAUUUCAUUGUAUUGACAUAGAUAGUGUAUAUGAAAUCUAACCCUAUUGCAAUUUUUAUAUAAUAGUAUUGUAUACACAAAUAACAUAUAUAACAUGGGUAAUCUAAGCAAGUUUAGUCAUGUAGAUUAAACAAGUGAUUUGUAUGAAAAAAAAUGAAUACAAUAUAUUUUUGUAGUAUUAAUUACGUGUUUUAAAUUUCAAUAGACGAGUCGGCAAGAUUACCCUCAAUUUCUACAUGUGUCUUGACUUAUUUUGAAAAGAUCUGACAUUCUAGUUGCAUACAUCUACCUUCAUAUUAUUUUUGGACAUCUGUCGAAUACAGACUAAUUAUAAUAUUGUCCAUAUGUCAGGGCUUGUCCUGAGAUUGACACAGUUAUCGUUAUAAUUUUUGUUUUACAUUUUAAUAUCAUAUAUUCUUUACACAAUGCAAGUUUCAUGACGUCUAUCUUCCUGUCUGGUUUUAUUUGUCUCCUUCGACAGAAAUAUAGAACAGUAUACUCGUCAAAGAUUAAGCAAACAAUUUAUUUAAUAUCUCGCAAUACAUCAAGUAUGCUGUUUGAAUCCCUAUCAAAAAGACGAUUAACUCAAGAGUUUCACAAGUACAUCUUUAUUUCGAGACUUUUUAGUCAAUGAAAUUAGUCAACUUUUCAUUAGCCUUGUUAUAAACCAAGUUUGCUUUCAUCAAAAUACCGGAAUUCUUUGGUCAAUUUCACAAGGGGUGCGUACUAUACACAACCGAAUACGGUAAAAGAUGAAAAACACUCUUUGAUUAUGAUAAUGAAGAUUUUCGAAUUUGCCUUUCAAGGGUUGUGUGAAUUAGAUAAAAUGUGGUCAUACGUCUAGCAAAGACUUGAGUUAUUUCGCCUUCAGGAAUCCUGUAUUAAUGUUUAACCAUUCUUUAUAAAAAAAAAAAAAUAUGUUCAUUAUAUGCACUGUGCUGACUCCAUUUGUAGACGACUGUAUCUUGCACUCCUUGUGUGCAGCCAUUUCGAAUCUUGCUGACGCACGAAUACAAUGUUGUAGAAAUGAAAUAUGUAUAGUAGUAUACAUGUUAUUACUAGUUUGAUAAGAUGUUUUGUUGUUUGUUAUUUUUG